rnacentral:piRNA from 1 species
GUAAGUACUGAAAUGUGCAGUGAGGAAA